GAUGAACGCUUGUUUGGCGUGCCUAACACAUGCAAGUCGAGCGAUGAAGUUUCCUUCGGGAAAUGGACUAGCGGUGGAGGGGUGAGUAACACGUGGGUAACCUGCCUCAUAGUGGGGGAUAGCCUUCCGAAAGGGAGAUUAAUACCGCACAACAUCAUUAGAUGGCAUCAUUUAGUGAUCAAAGGAUUUAUUCGCUAUGAGAUGGACCCGCGUCGCUUUAUCUAGUUGGUAGGGUAAUGGCUUACCAAGGCGACGAUGCGUAACCGACCUGAGAGGGUGAUCGGCCACAUUGGGACUGAGACACGACCCAGACUCCUACGGGUGGCAGCAGUGGUGUUUUUUGUCCAAUGUGGGAAACCCUGAUGCAUCAUCGCCUUUUUUAUUGAUUGAC
rnacentral:rRNA from 1 species